UGGGGGAGGAAGGGAAAGGAGAUUGUUAGCCGUUUGAGACUCCUUAAGAAGAAGAAGACUUUGGAUUUGAUAUCCCACUUUAUCACGACCCUAAGGAGUCUCAAAGCGGCUAACAAUCUCCUUUCCCUUCCUUCCCCAC